AGGAGCUUUUCAGCCACUGAGAAUUCAGAGCCUUUAAUGAUUCUGGAGACCUCUUAGUGUGGGGACUAUCCCUAGCUUUGUGACUGAAGACUUGCCAGGUCCUGGAAGCAUCUGGGAAGUGUUUUUGUUGAGGAGAGUUGAAUGUUUGAAGAAGAAAAUAUCAGAGUGACAUUCCUGCUGCUGGCUCCCCUCUGAUGUGCCGCCCUUGUGCUUUCUCCUACUGCACUUGCGAUCCAGCAGCCUA
rnacentral:lncRNA from 1 species